UUAUUUUGCCUGUUUCAGGCGGCUCAUCCCCAGGGUUUGCCCGGUUUCGCCGGGCUUUUUUUGAUGCUAA
rnacentral:misc_RNA from 3 species